rnacentral:rRNA from 1 species
GGGCCCGCACAAGCGGUGGAGUAUGUGGUUUAAUUCGAUGCAACGCGAAGAACCUUACCAGGGUUUGACAUCCUGCGAAUCUCUUGGAAACGAGAGAGUGCCUUCGGGAACGCAGUGACAGGUGGUGCAUGGCUGUCGUCAGCUCGUGUCGUGAGAUGUUCGGUUAAGUCCGGCAACGAGCGCAACCCACAUCCCUAGUUGCCAGCAGUUCGGCUGGGCACUCUAUGGAAACUGCCCGUGAUAAGCGGGAGGAAGGUGUGGAUGACGUCAAGUCCUCAUGGCCCUUACGGGUUGGGCUACACACGUGCUACAAUGGUGGUGACAAUGGGUUAAUCCCAAAAGCCAUCUCAGUUCGGAUUGGGGUCUGCAACUCGACCCCAUGAAGUCGGAAUCGCUAGUAAUCGCGUAAC